rnacentral:rRNA from 1 species
GACGUAGGGCGCGAGCGUUGUCCGGAUUUAUUGGGCGUAAAGAGCUCGUAGGCGGCUCGUUGCGUCGGCCUGUGAAAAACCCCGCAGCUCAACUGUGGGACUUGCAGCCUGAUACGGGCGGGCGUUGGAUUCGGUAGGGGAGACUGGAAUUCCUGGAUGUAGCGGUGAAAGUGCGCAGAUAUCAGGAGGAACACCGGUGGCGAAGGCGGGUCUCUGGGCCGAAUAUCGGACGCUGGAGGAGCGAAAGCGUGGGGAGCGAACAGG